rnacentral:rRNA from 1 species
UACGAAGGGGGCUAGCGUUGUUCGGAAUUACUGGGCGUAAAGCGCGCGUAGGUGGUUCGUUAAGUUAGGAGUGAAAGCCCCGGGCUCAACCUGGGAAUUGCUUCUAAAACUGGCGAGCUAGAGUAUGGUAGAGGGUGGUGGAAUUUCCUGUGUAGCGGUGAAAUGCGUAGAUAUAGGAAGGAACAUCAGUGGCGAAGGCGACCACCUGGACUGAUACUGACACUGAGGUGCGAAAGCGUGGGGAGCAAACAGGGAUUAGAUACCUCGGUAGUCCCUGAG